UACGGAGGGAGCUAGCGGUGUUCGGAAUUACUGGGCGUAAAGCGCGCGUAGGCGGCUUUGUAAGUUAGAGGUGAAAGCCCGGGGCUCAACCCCGGAACUGCCUUUAAGACUGCAUCGCUUGAAUCCGGGAGAGGUGAGUGGAAUUCCGAGUGUAGAGGUGAAAUUCGUAGAUAUUCGGAAGAACACCAGUGGCGAAGGCGGCUCACUGGACCGGCAUUGACGCUGAUGUGCGAAAGCGUGGGGAGCAAACAGG
rnacentral:rRNA from 1 species